GAUGAACGCUAGCGGGAGGCCUAACACAUGCAAGCCGAGCGGUAUUUGUCCUUCGGGACAGAGAGAGCGGCGUACGGGUGCGGAACACGUGUGCAACCUGCCUUUAUCUGGGGGAUAGCCUUUCGAAAGGAAGAUUAAUACCCCAUAAUAUAUCGAAUGGCAUCAUUCGAUAUUGAAAACUCCGGUGGAUAGAGAUGGGCACGCGCAAGAUUAGAUAGUUGGUGAGGUAACGGCUCACCAAGUCAGUGAUCUUUAGGGGGCCUGAGAGGGUGAUCCCCCACACUGGUACUGAGACACGGACCAGACUACGGGAGGCAGCAGUGAGGAAUAUUGGACAAUGGGUGAGAGCCUGAUCCAGCCAUCCCGCGUGAAGGACUAAGGCCCUAUGGGUUGUAAACUUCUUUUAUACUGGGAUAAACCUACUUACGUGUAAGUAGCUGAAGGUACAGUAUGAAUAAGCACCGGCUAACUCCGUG
rnacentral:rRNA from 1 species